CUGUUCUCUGAAGCAGCAGAUAACCCCAGAUCUGAUGGCAGUGUCAUCCCCCUGUUGAGGAGACAAAGGCAGGACAAAUGGACAAGGAUCCUUGGGCAACCUCAUUGCUGCUCCUGUGGUUUCAUCUUGGUGGAGCAAGCAGCAUGUUGAAUGUGGAGCAAAGACCUCGGUCCCUGCAUGUUCAGGAGGGAGAGAACACCAAUUUCACCUGCAGCUUCACUUUUGAUUCUUUUUAUGGUUUGUAUUGGUACAAAUGGAAACCUGCAGAAAGCCCCAAGCUCAUGUUUGCCAUGCGUUUAAAUGGGGAUGAAAAGCAGGCAGGACGAGUAAGAGUCACACUGGAUACUAAGGAGCGUCACAGCUAUAUGUACAUCAAAGGACCCCAGCUGGAAGACUCAGCCACGUACCUCUGUGCCUUGACACAAUGCUUCUCAGGCCCCUGCCGUCUGUACCCAAACCCUGUAGAACACAGCAUCAACAGAAAGCCAUGUGUAAGGGGAAAAUGUGAUCUCAGGGGAUUGUGA